rnacentral:rRNA from 1 species
UACGAAGGGGACUAGCGUUGUUCGGAUUUACUGGGCGUAAAGGGCGCGUAGGCGGCGUGGUAAGUCAAUUGUGAAAUCUCCGAGCUUAACUCGGAACGGUCAAUUGAUACUGCUGUGCUAGAGUACAGAAGGGGCAAUCGGAAUUCCUGGUGUAGCGGUGGAAUGCGCAGAUAUCAGGAGGAACACCGGUGGCGAAGGCGGGUCUCUGGGCAGUAACUGACGCUGGAGGAGCGAAAGCGUGGGGAGCGAACAGG